rnacentral:rRNA from 1 species
GACGAACGCUGGGGGCGUGCUUAACACAUGCAAGUCGAACGGAAAGGCCCUGCUUUUGUGGGGUGCUCGAGUGGCGAACGGGUGAGUAACACGUGAGUAACCUGCCCUUGACUUUGGGAUAACUUCAGGAAACUGGGGCUAAUACCGGAUAGGAGCUCCUGCUGCAUGGUGGGGGUUGGAAAGUUUCGGCGGUUGGGGAUGGACUCGCGGCUUAUCAGCUUGUUGGUGGGGUAGUGGCUUACCAAGGCUUUGACGGGUAGCCGGCCUGAGAGGGUGACCGGCCACAUUGGGACUGAGAUACGGCCCAGACUCCUACGGGAGGCAGCAGUGGGGAAUAUUGCACAAUGGGCGGAAGCCUGAUGCAGCAACGCCGCGUGCGGGAUGACGGCCUUCGGGUUGUAAACCGCUUUCGCCUGUGACGAAGCGUGAGUGACGGUAAUGGGUAAAGAAGCACCGGCUAACUACGUG